rnacentral:lncRNA from 1 species
UUAAAACGAUCAGACAGAACAAGGACGAAUUCCAGUAAGAUGUCAAGGUCCACUCCAAUUUGCCAGCACUGUUGUGAGAAUGAUCUUUGCAAUUUGCAGUGCAGUGUUACAGCACAGACUGAAACUGGAGUAGCAAUAGUUGGAUGACUAUAGCCAUGCAGAUGAUUCAACGGAUUGUCC